rnacentral:rRNA from 1 species
GCUCAACCGUAGUAAGCUCUUGAAACUGGGAGACUUGAGUGCAGGAGAGGAGAGUGGAAUUCCUAGUGUAGCGGUGAAAUGCGUAGAGAUUAGGAGGAACACCAGUUGCGAAGGCGGCUCUCUGGACGGUAACUGACGCUGAGGCACGAAAGCGUGGGGAGCAAACAGGAUUAGAUACCCUGGUAGUCCACGCUGUAAACGAUGAGUACUAGGUG